GAAAUGCGAUAAGUAAUGUGAAUUGCAGAAUUCCGUGAAUCAUCGAAUCUUUGAACGCACAUUGCGCCCCCUGGCAUCCCGGGGGGCAUGCCUGUCCGAGCGUCAUUGCAGACCUCAAGCGCGGCUUGUGUGAUGGGGGCCGCCGCACCGCGAGGGCGCGGCGCCCCCGAAACGCAGCGGCGGCGUCGCGACACCGCGGCCCGAGUGAAUGGGACCUCCACCGCUCGCGGCCCGGCCGACGCCCGCCUCAACGUCAUCCACGGUUGACCUCGGAUCAGGUAGGGAUACCCGCUGAACUUAA
rnacentral:misc_RNA from 1 species